CACAUGCAAGUCGAGGGGCAGCGGGGUGUAGCAAUACACUGCCGGCGACCGGCGCACGGGUGCGUAACGCGUAUGCAACCUACCCAUAACAGGGGCAUAACACUGAGAAAUUGGUACUAAUUCCCUAUAACAUUCGAAGAGGCAUCUCUUUGGGUUGAAAACUCCGGUGGUUAUGGAUGGGCAUGCGUUGUAUUAGCUAGUUGGUGAGGUAACGGCUCACCAAGGCGACGAUACAUAGGGGGACUGAGAGGUUAACCCCCCACAUUGGUACUGAGACACGGACCAAACUCCUACGGGAGGCAGCAGUGAGGAAUAUUGGUCAAUGGACGCAAGUCUGAACCAGCCAUGCCGCGUGCAGGAUGACGGCUCUAUGAGUUGUAAACUGCUUUUGUACGAGGGUAAACUCACCUACGUGUAGGUGACUGAAAGUAUCGUACGAAUAAGGAUCGGCUAACUCCGUGCCAGCAGCCGCGGUAAUACGGAGGAUUCAAGCGUUAUCCGGAUUUAUUGGGUUUAAAGGGUGCGUAGGCGGUUAGAUAAGUUAGAGGUGAAAUCCCGGGGCUUAACUCCGAAAUUGCCUCUAAUACUGUUUGACUAGAGAGUAGUUGCGGUAGGCGGAAUGUAUGGUGUAGCGGUGAAAUGCUUAGAGAUCAUACAGAACACCGAUUGCGAAGGCAGCUUACCAAACUAUAUCUGACGUUGAGGCACGAAAGCGUGGGGAGCAAACAGGAUUAGAUACCCUGGUAGUCCACGCAGUAAACGAUGAUAACUCGCUGUCGGCGAUACACAGUCGGUGGCUAAGCGAAAGCGAUAAGUUAUCCACCUGGGGAGUACGUUCGCAAGAAUGAAACUCAAAGGAAUUGACGGGGGCCCGCAC
rnacentral:rRNA from 1 species